rnacentral:lncRNA from 1 species
GGACAAGUCUGCUUUUGACCAGUCCUGAGGACAGGUCUGCCCCAGACCAGACCUGUGGACAAGUCUGCUUUUGACCAGUCCUGAGGACAGGUCUGCCUCAGAGCAGACCUGUGGACAGGUCUGCUCCUGACCAGACCUGAGGACAGGUCUGCUUUUGACCAGACCUGUGGACAAGUCUGCUAUUGACCAGACCUGAGGAUAGGUCUGCUUAUGACAGAUUAUCGUUAUAAGAGUUUUCAUAUCAGACUUGAGCUUUCAUUAAAAUAUGUAAACAACAUUCGCAUUGUUUUUCCACAG